UUGAGGGGAAUGUUGUCUGGCUCGAGGACUCUUUUCAUAUUGAUCUAUAAUCCCCUAGAUCAACAACCUUCAUAUAUAUCUAUAUGUGUAUGUAUAUGUUGCGUGUAUCAACUGCAUACACAGAGAUGAUCAGGUGAAUUAGUGUCGUCGGACCAGGCUUCAUUCCCCCCAA